rnacentral:misc_RNA from 1 species
UCCGAGUUGACCCCGGCAGUCUCCUAUGAGUCCCCACCAUCACGUGCUGGCAACAUAGAACGAGGGUUGCGCUCGUUGCGGGACUUAACCCAACAUCUCACGACACGAGCUGACGACAACCAUGCACCACCUGUGAACCGGCCCCAAAGGGGAAACCACAUUUCUGCGGCGGUCCGGUCCAUGUCAAGCCUUGGUAAGGUUCUUCGCGUUGCAUCGAAUUAAUCCGCAUGCUCCGCCGCUUGUGCGGGCCCCCGUCAAUUCCUUUGAGUUUUAGCCUUGCGGCCGUACUCCCCAGGCGGGGCGCUUAAUGCGUUAGCUGCGGCACGGAGGACGUGGAAUGUCCCCCACACCUAGCGCCCAACGUUUACGGCGUGGACUAC